rnacentral:lncRNA from 1 species
AGCUUUUGUUCGGUGAAGUUUGAAGGAAAAUGGAAAAAGAAGGAAAAAACCCUAGGUUUAAGCUUUUGUACCGUGGAAGAAGCAUAGAAAUGGAACCUGUGGAGAAGAAUGUUGGAUCUACGAGGAAAACGAAACCUACAGUGAUGAAGGUGAGGGACCUACGACGACUCUCGAGAGAGAGCGAAGGAGCUUCGCUCGCGAGAGAGAAAUGAGAUGUGGUUCAGAUGCUGGAAAAUGAUAUGUGAUGCGCUGACGAAUGCNCUGGCAGCAAAUGAAGAUGUGGCGGCAAGAGAAUGGAUAAGCGUGGAUGAGUGAGAAGCACCAUGGAAAUUAAUGGAAGAAUGAAAUAAUGAAGUGUGCUUUGGAAGGAGGCUAGAGGUCUUUGGACUCUCCAGCCAAAUGACUUUCAAGAGAGAAUAAUUUUCUGAAUUAGAAAAGUUUAUUCUCAUUAAGUUCAAAAGUAAGGAAUACAAUGAGGAGCUGGGUAU